GCAUUUGCUGCACCUACUCACGGCUCCAUCAGCUGCGCCUGCCGUGUUUGGAGGUGGCCUGUUGGGAUACGUUAUAUAUGACUGCACCCAUUACUACCUGCAUCAUGGACAUCCAUCCAAACACCCAGCUAAACACCUGAAGCGGUAUCAUCUAAACCAUCACUUCAAAGUUCAAAACAAGGGGUUUGGAAUAACUUCUUCACUCUGGGACAUCAUCUUUGGCACAUUGCCACCAGCAAAAACCUCUCAUCAGAAAAACUGAUUCUUUUGGACAAUGCAAGAAUAGCUUGUAAUUUAUUGAGAUUCCCUACUGUUCUCUUUGGUGGUUCCUUUUUUUCCUCCUGCAUAUCCCAAAUAAAUAAACAAUGCUCUCCAAUUCUUUCCUUGUAUACAUCACAGAUCAGUGCCCUUGAUCAUCAUGUAUUGAGGACACUAUUUGAUGAAAGCUACCUUGUGUAUUAAACCAGUU